rnacentral:tRNA from 1 species
AAAAUUUUAAGUUAAUAUUAAAACUUUAAACUUUCAAAGUUUAAAAUAUAAAUUAAAAUUUAUAAAUUUUA